AUUGGCACAAGUGGUGAGAGGCACGUUAACUUCUGGAGACAUCAUUUUCCUAUGAACACUGCAUUGUUAUUUAAAGUCCAGGAUAUGAGAAUGCAAUACUGCCAUGAGCGCAUGUUGUCAAAAAGUGAGAAGCUGCUUGAAUAACCUGGCACGAGUGUGGGAUGACCAUGGACCCACAAUGGAGGGAAUCAGUGAUGAAGACUCAGUUGUUAUGCUUUGCUGUGAGGAAGCAGAGGACUCUCCAUCAAC